rnacentral:piRNA from 1 species
UGUUUGUCUAGAAGAGAGGGCACAGC